UAAGGAAUAUUGGUCAAUGGACGCAAGUCUGAACCAGCCAUGCCGCGUGAAGGAUGAAGGUCCUCUGGAUUGUAAACUUCUUUUAUCUGGGACGAAAACGGGAUUUUUAUCUCAAUUGACGGUACCAGAGGAAUAAGCACCGGCUAACUCCGUGCCAGCAGCCGCGGUCAUACGGAGGGGGCGAGCGUUAACCGGAUUUACUGGGUUUAAAGGGUGCGUAGGUGGGCUUAUAAGUCAGUGGUGAAAUCUCCGAGCUUAACUUGGAAACUGCCGUUGAUACUAUAGGGCUUGAAUUAUCGGGAGGUAAGCGGAAUAUGUCAUGUAGCGGUGAAAUGCUUAGAUAUGACAUAAAACACCAAUUGCGAAGGCAGCUUACUACAUAUAAAUUGACGCUGAGGCACGAAAGCGUGGGGAUCAAACA
rnacentral:rRNA from 1 species